rnacentral:lncRNA from 1 species
UGUUGAUAAAAAGGAGGUUGAGGAUACUAAGGGAUGAAUUAAUUAGCCAUUCUUUGGUUUAUGAGUGGAUUAAAGUAAUGUGGUUUAUCAUUGUUAAGAUCGAUGGACAGUAUUUACCGCACCGCUUGUGGUUUCUCAAUUUUUAUAUCAAUUUGAAAUCUAAAAACUAGUAUUUAUAAAAAAGAAGAUGUGGUAUGAUUGCCAAUGAGACAACUAUCCACAAAAGACCAAAAUGACACAAACAUUAACAACUAUAGGCCACCGUACGGCCUUCAACAAUGAUCAAAGCCCAUACUGCAUAGUCAGCUAUAAAAGGCCCCGAUAAGACAAUGUAAAACAAUUCAAACGAGAAAACUAACGGCCUUAUUAUGUAAAAAAAAAAUGAACGAAAAACAAAUAUGUAACACAUAAACAAACGACAAC